rnacentral:rRNA from 1 species
UGUGAGCUCGAUGAGUAGGGCGGGACACGUGGUAUCCUGUCUGAAUAUGGGGGGACCAUCCUCCAAGGCUAAAUACUCCUGACUGACCGAUAGUGAACCAGUACCGUGAGGGAAAGGCGAAAAGAACCCCGGCGAGGGGAGUGAAAAAGAACCUGAAACCGUGUACGUACAAGCAGUGGGAGCACGCUUAGGCGUGUGACUGCGUACCUUUUGUAUAAUGGGUCAGCGACUUAUAUUCUGUAGCAAGGUUAACCGAAUAGGGGAGCCGAAGGGAAACCGAGUCUUAACUGGGCGUUAAGUUGCAGGGUAUAGACCCGAAACCCGGUGAUCUAGCCAUGGGCAGGUUGAAGGUUGGGUAACACUAACUGGAGGACCGAACCGACUAAUGUUGAAAAAUUAGCGGAUGACUUGUGGCUGGGGGUGAAAGGCCAAUCAAACCGGGAGAUAGCUGGUUCUCCCCGAAAGCUAUUUAGGUAGCGCCUCGUGAAUUCAUCUCCGGGGGUAGAGCACUGUUUCGGCAAGGGGGUCAUCCCGACUUACCAACCCGAUGCAAACUGCGAAUACCGGAGAAUGUUAUCACGGGAGACACACGGCGGGUGCUAACGUCCGUCGUGAAGAGGGAAACAACCCAGACCGCCAGCUAAGGUCCCAAAGUCAUGGUUAAGUGGGAAACGAUGUGGGAAGGCCCAGACAGCCAGGAUGUUGGCUUAGAAGCAGCCAUCAUUUAAAGAAAGCGUAAUAGCUCACUGGUCGAGUCGGCCUGCGCGGAAGAUGUAACGGGGCUAAACCAUGCACCGAAGCUGCGGCAGCGACGCUUAUGCGUUGUUGGGUAGGGGAGCGUUCUGUAAGCCUGCGAAGGUGUGCUGUGAGGCAUGCUGGAGGUAUCAGAAGUGCGAAUGCUGACAUAAGUAACGAUAAAGCGGGUGAAAAGCCCGCUCGCCGGAAGACCAAGGGUUCCUGUCCAACGUUAAUCGGGGCAGGGUGAGUCGACCCCUAAGGCGAGGCCGAAAGGCGUAGUCGAUGGGAAACAGGUUAAUAUUCCUGUACUUGGUGUUACUGCGAAGGGGGGACGGAGAAGGCUAUGUUGGCCGGGCGACGGUUGUCCCGGUUUAAGCGUGUAGGCUGGUUUUCCAGGCAAAUCCGGAAAAUCAAGGCUGAGGCGUGAUGACGAGGCACUACGGUGCUGAAGCAACAAAUGCCCUGCUUCCAGGAAAAGCCUCUAAGCAUCAGGUAACAUCAAAUCGUACCCCAAACCGACACAGGUGGUCAGGUAGAGAAUACCAAGGCGCUUGAGAGAACUCGGGUGAAGGAACUAGGCAAAAUGGUGCCGUAACUUCGGGAGAAGGCACGCUGAUAUGUAGGUGAGGUCCCUCGCGGAUGGAGCUGAAAUCAGUCGAAGAUACCAGCUGGCUGCAACUGUUUAUUAAAAACACAGCACUGUGCAAACACGAAAGUGGACGUAUACGGUGUGACGCCUGCCCGGUGCCGGAAGGUUAAUUGAUGGGGU